rnacentral:lncRNA from 1 species
CUAUUGAUAAAUUUCACUAAAAUUAACUUUUAUUCCUGAAAAAAUCAAGGGAGAUUUGUGAAAAACUGUAUUUCACGCGGUCAUUGUUGCUUGCCUCACCCUACUCAACUAAAUUAUUUUAGUGUACAACAUGAUUUUUUUUGAGACGAAUAUCUUACCAAUUCAUGGAUUCACCAUGUGGGUGUCCAUCACGUGGCAGAGAGAAAAACGCUGAGCAGAGCUUGGACUUGUGAUCAAAUGGUGCUGUAAAAUGAAGAUAUAUUGUUAAAUAUCAUGAGAUAGAAAUAAAAGAUGAAAAUCUAGCUGUACCCGUCCCGAGCCACACUACUGUAGCCACGUUGCUGCUGGCAUUUUUGCAAAAUAGCACAAGGUCACAACAAUUGAUGUAACAAAUAUAAUCAAUGGACCAGGCACCUGCACCAUGAUUCUUUGGAAUACUAAAAUUCGUCUCUUUAUGUCUGUACUUCUCAUAAUGAAAAAUGUCACGUUUUUAUGAAAGAAAUAAUGGAAUCAAAUAAUAAAUAAAACAAGCAUAUGCUGGAA